UACGUAGGAUGCAAGCGUUGUUCGGAAUUACUGGGCGUAAAGAGUACGUAGGCGGUGACAUAAGUCUGAAAAUUAAAGACAGAAGCUCAACUUCUGGAAUGUAUCGGAAACUGUGUUACUAGAGGAUAGUAGAGGAAGUCGGAAUUCUCAGUGUAGCGGUGAAAUGCGUAGAUAUUGGGAAGAACACCAGUGGCGAAGGCGGCUCACUGGUCCGGUACUGACGCUGAGGUGCGAAAGCGUGGGGAGCAAACAGGG
rnacentral:rRNA from 1 species